AGGCAUAUAAUGAGAUUCAGCGUUGUUUUCUUGUUAUUGGUUCAGUUUAUCCGGAGGAUCUGUAUGCCUUCCUUCUGAGUAAAUGUCAGGCAAAAGAUGAACAUUUUGUGGUUGGAGCGCUCUGUACCAUAAAAAAUCUCUUGCCGAGGUUAUUGGAAGCUUGGCAUGCUAAAAGGAAUUUACUUAUUGAAGUUGUGAAAUCACUUUUAGUUGGGCAGAGUUUAGGUGUGCGAAAGGCACUUGCUGAGGUUC